rfam:Schistosoma curassoni strain Dakar, Senegal genome assembly, scaffold: SCTD_scaffold0011732
GCACUGCUGAGGAGUCCCAUACCAGGACGAAACGGCUGUGCAGUGC